GACGAACGCUGGCGGCGUGCUUAACACAUGCAAGUCGAACGGUGAAGCCUUCGGGUGGAUCAGUGGCGAACGGGUGAGUAACACGUGAGCAAUCUGCCCUUGACUCUGGGAUAACUUCGGGAAACCGGAGCUAAUACCGGAUAUGACAUCUGGCCGCAUGGUCUGGGUGUGGAAAGAUUUAUCGGUCAAGGAUGAGCUCGCGGCCUAUCAGCUUGUUGGGGGGUAAUGGCCCACCAAGGCGACGACGGGUAGCCGGCCUGAGAGGCGACCGGCCACACUGGGACUGAGACACGGCCCAGACUCCUACGGGAGGCAGCAGUGGGGAAUAUUGCGCAAUGGGCGGAAGCCUGACGCAGCGACGCCGCGUGAGGGA
rnacentral:rRNA from 1 species